rnacentral:rRNA from 1 species
UGCCACAUGACAUAUUUAUAUGUGGUAAAUCCUGCCCAGUGAUCACUUAAACGGCCGCGGUAUCUUGACCGUGCAAAGGUAGCAUAAUCAUUUGCCUAUUAAUUGUAGGCUAGUAUGAAAGGAUAAACGAGAAUUUUACUGUCUCAUCUAGAUCUAUAAAAAUUUAUUUUUAAGUGAAGAAGCUUAAAUUUAGACACAGGACAAGAAGACCCUAUAGAGCUUUACCUUAUUAUUAGAACUUAACUAAUAUACGGUUCGGUUGGGGCGACCGAGGAACACAAAUCAUCCUUAAUUAUUUAGACAUCCAAGUCAUAAAAUUGAUCCUUAAUAAAGAUUACUGAAUCAAGCUACCUUAGGGAUAACAGGCUAAUUCCCCUUAAGAGUCCAUAUUGACAGGGGAGAUUGGCACCUCGAUGUUGGCUUAGGAUUUCAUCUCGCCGCAGCAGGCGAGAACAGAUGGAUUGUUCAUCCAUUAAUAUCCU